rnacentral:rRNA from 2 species
UACGUAGGUGGCAAGCGUUGUCCGGAUUUAUUGGGCGUAAAGCGAGUGCAGGCGGCUCGAUAAGUCUGAUGUGAAAGCCUUCGGCUCAACCGGAGAAUUGCAUCAGAAACUGUCGAGCUUGAGUACAGAAGAGGAGAGUGGAACUCCAUGUGUAGCGGUGAAAUGCGUAGAUAUAUGGAAGAACACCGGUGGCGAAGGCGGCUCUCUGGUCUGUUACUGACGCUGAGGCUCGAAAGCAUGGGUAGCGAAC